rnacentral:rRNA from 1 species
AUGAACGCUGGCGGCGUGCCUAAUACAUGCAAGUCGAGCGAACAGAUAAGGAGCUUGCUCCUUUGACGUUAGCGGCGGACGGGUGAGUAACACGUGGGUAACCUACCUAUAAGACUGGGACAACUUCGGGAAACCGGAGCUAAUACCGGAUAAUAUGUUGAACCGCAUGGUUCAAUAGUGAAAGAUGGUUUUGCUAUCACUUAUAGAUGGACCCGCGCCGUAUUAGCUAGUUGGUGAGGUAACGGCUCACCAAGGCAACGAUACGUAGCCG